rnacentral:lncRNA from 1 species
UUCUUUGCCUGACCCCCCGGGAAAUUCCAAAUAAAGUAUAUAAACCAACAAGUUUCCAAACCUAAUCUUUCUCUCGGCCAAAAGUGCAGCGCAAAACACCGAUCGAAAUUCACUCGUCGUCUUCACCCUCGAUCGACCUCCGCAAAACACCGAUUGACCAUCACUCGUCAUCUUCACCAUCGAUCGCUGUCCACCAUCACUCGUCGUCUUCACCAUCGAUCGCUGUCCACCAUCACUCGUCGUCUUCACCAUCGAUCGACCUCCACCUUCUGUCAUCGUCAUCGACGUCGACAUCGACCCGUCGUUUUCAUUCAAUUCGACGGUGAGUUUUCUUGGACAGCAAUGCGAAUUUUGUUUAGAUAAAUCGAUUUUCUUCUUGUUUGGUUUCGGUUUAACAACAAAUGUUAAACAAAUUUUAUUCGUUCAUUUGUAUAAGUUUGGGGUUUUCUCGAAAUUGUGUUCUUCAAUUCCAAUUUUUGAAAACCCUAACCCUAAAAAUUUGGGGGUUUUUCAAAAUUAGGUUAAUUGUGUUUCAAAAUUAGGUUAAUUUGGGGGUUCAUAUCUCUCUUGUUUUUUUCUUUAAUCGAUUUGUUUUUAUAUUCCUUGUUUCUGUUAAUGAAGUUCUUUCAGCGAGAGUUAAUUUUAAGGUUUAGAGCCGAACCUAACUCAACCGAAGUACCCUAGUGUGUGGCAGACCACUGUAUAUGCUCACCAAAGAAAGAGAUGCUUUGCUACUUUGUGUGGUGAUGGUUGUUUCAUCUAGCUUAGCUAUACAUUUGUGUGCACUACGUCUGGGGUUUCACAUAUACUUUAUAAGCUUAUAAGCGUGUCACAAUGUCAUUCUCGUUUAUCGUCAGUUUUAAUUGCUUAAUCACUUUCAUACUGGCGAGAGGGUCAGUCAUAAUUUGAUGCAUUAUCAUCAAUAAUUAGACAUAUAUAUGGAUUCAUGCAUCAGUGACCAAUGCUGAUAUGGUGUUUAGUCAGACAAAAGUGUGUUAUUUGAAGAUACAAAUAGGCAUGAGUAGUAGCUUUCAAGACUGAAUUUCAUAAAGCUGAUAUGGUGGUACAUCCUUAGAGUUCCAACAAGGUGUGUAGAUUUAAUCCAAAAAAUACUAACACUGACAAUUGACAAUUCAAGGCUAUGGAUGUUGGCCAAGUACUCUCUAGUCUUUCUAGGCUACGGAUGUCUGUCAAAGCAUGGCCAUGACAUAGUGUUGAUCAAAGUAUUUAAUGACAUGGUAUAUGUCUAUAUGAUGUUUCAUAUGUAUGUACAGUAUUGGUUUGAGAUAAGAAUAUAUGACUUUCUUUAUCCCAAAUUUGUUUAGCUGUGUUAGCUUUGUAUUCCUCUAGUUUUGUUAAUCAUGUCCUCUUUUUCUUAUAGGUCCCUGGAUUUUCUUCAUUGCGCCGUAAUCUCCUUCAUCUUUCACCCUUGAUCCAAAUAGUUAUUUGUGAUGCUGAACGUACGAACGCCCUAACUGCGUACGUACGUUCCUGAACGGGGGGGGUGGGAAGGGUUGAGGACAUAAGAUUUGGAACCGUAAACUUUUUGAAGGCGCUCUUUUUCUUUUCUUUUCUUUUUUUCCAGGUUAGCGCAUCUUCCUGAAGAGGUGAAAACGACACUAGAAGAUCCAGAUAGCAGGUGAAUGCUCUUGCUUACAUAAUUUAUAUUGCACAAGUAGAUUUGCAAUUGCUACUUCACAGACACGACUAUCUUGCUAGAAAACACCAAAAUUAUUACUUUUGAAUCAGGAAGCUGUAUACUUAUAAAAAAAUUCAAUGCUGCAAAAAGGAGGAUGAUGAAAGGAAUAAAUGGAAAGACUAAAGGUUAUACAGAUGGUUAAUAUGAUGCAUGAACUGGAGGAUUAUGUCUAUUGCAUAUUGUAGUUGUUCAAAACUUCAAAUAUGGUAACAACGUGAAUUAUGGCUUAAUCCAUAGGCUUUCUCCUUUUUAUGAUGAUAAUUGAGCACUAUUGGUUUCAUUUACGGUCCAUAAGUGAUUUGAGGUCAUUAUAAGUCUUAAUAAGAUAACAAGAAUAUAGGCCAAGGACCAGGUUAUGAAGUUUGUUUUGGAUUUACAAUUUUAAUUUAAAAACUAACUUAUAUACACAGUAUUUGGUUUGGUAGCGCAGAAUUUCAAUUUUUCAAUUUUUCAAACACCUUGUGUUGAGAGUUGAAUUGAUAAGAACUACAUUAUGGUGUACUAAACCACCCUGAAAUAAUUUUCGGGUGCAAAUAAACAUAACAAGGUUUGAUUGAAUAACACUUUGGAAUAAGAUUUGGCGAGGGUUACGCUACCAUGUACCUCCGCUCUUAACUAAGGCUACCUUCCCGAGUUAAUCUUCCCACGGCAAAAUGGAAUAGAGACAUCAAAAAGAUAUCCCCUCAUGCCCCAGGCUAUCCUCCAAAAUACAAUACAAAUAUAUAUACUUUGGAGGUUCAAACCUGGUGAGGUCUUCAACAAAACCCGUAUACGGCUGUACGUUUAAGUUAAUCUCCUGUUUCCAUACUUAUACUCGUUUUUCCUUAGGACUUCCAAAGUUCCCACAAUGUGGUUUUCAUCUUUAUUAUAUCAUUAUAAAUGUAUCAUAUAUGUAUAUCAUCCAUCUUCAGCAUGGUUCAUACAGUACAUGUUAAUAAACAAGGGAUGUAUCAUGCAUGCAUGCUGAUUACCUCUGACCAUGCAAGUGUAGUUAAUUAUUGUGUGCGGCUUUGGCGUAAAAUAUAUAUUCCCAACAUUAUACUGUACAUACACAUUACACAGUGUGUAUAUAUAUAUAUAUAUAUAUAUAUAUAUAUAUAUAUAUAUAUGCUCCUUGUUGUAUAUAUGUAGGUUUGUAAAUGUUUGGGAAUAUCACAGAAGAAUUAAUGUAUGCGAAACAACUUUUAGAAGAGUUAAAACUUAAAACUGGUCAAUUUUAACAAGGAGCUGACUGCUGAGGCAUGAAUGAAAUUGAGGCCAGGUGGUUGUAAAUAUAGAUUUACUUAAGUAACCCAUUUGAAUAUAAAAUGAUGACGUUGUGUAUUCUAGUUGGAUAGUCAGUAUGAAAUUCUAUUGCCAUGGUGAGUAUAAUAACAUUACUAUUAGUAUUUACUACUCUCUCAAAAUGAUUAGAACAAUCUAAUUAUUUUUCUUUUCCAAGUUGCAGUCUCGAAGUCUCGCAUCUUCGUUUCGGUCGUCACUCUCUGCUUUAUUUCUUUG